rnacentral:lncRNA from 1 species
UAGUCUGGGUUUUGGAGGCUCUCAGCUUGCUACGAAUGUCGACAAAGACUGUGGGGCCAGCAGAGUACGAGGACUUGGUCAGCAAAUGUGCUUCAGAGAAAUCAGAACUCACCUCAGAGCACACAGCAGCCUCCAGUCAGCAUCCCAGGCAUUUACUUGUUACUUCCUGGGUCACAAAUUCGCUCAGCCACCAAGAUUUCCAGUGGAAAGCUAGCAGCCAUUGCCAACACAGAACACAGCAAACCAAGCGGGCAGGCAGCAAACCAGUCUGGAGAAAAAUGGUUUUAGAGGCAGUCUGACACACUUAGUAUUUGUCACCAUCACCAGAGGCCACUGGGGCUGCUGCCACCCACACGCGUCUCUCUCCACAAGAACCAUCCGUCUCUUAAGAGGACAGAAGCCCCAGGACGGUGCAGGAAGACACUGUUCCCUAUUUGUGAAUACUUUAUUAGAAAGCUUUACAACAAUACAGAAAUUAAAUCAUGUUUAGCAAGAAGUUGUCAGAUUGCUUUUAUUCAGAAUAACGUGACGUGAUGCAGACAGCACGGGCCAUGAGGCUGUCCUACUCCUAGCACCUCGGCUGUGCCCAAAGACACUGCCAAGCUGACAUCGUGUGCGGCAGUCAACUGGCCCAAAACGGGGCGUGACAGGCUCUUCCCAUCGGACAGCCGCUUCUAAGAUGCAGGUGGGCAUCCUGGGUGCCAUGGAGACCAGCCACCAGUGAGUGGGGUGAAGCCCGAGAGAGAGGCCAGGAAACCCAACCUCACAGCCAUGGCGACUGGGUGUAAAAAGCCACGCUGGGGAAAAAGCCAUGCGGUCUGGGGCAUCAUCACGACUAAUAUCGGCUAACUAGCUGGAGACUAUUGUUAGCCAUUACCCCACCACAGCCCGGGCUGACCUUGGGCGGGAGAGCAACAUUCAGACAUUUGUUGCGUCUGGAGCAACAGGCCAGGGUGUAAGGGGAGCCAGCGACCUUCCCAGGACGGCCAGGCUCGCCAGGGCUCCCGCAUGGGCUGCUCUGUCCCGCCAACCCGGCUGGUGCCCAUCAGGAGCCUGUCUAGCACCUCUGUUUUCUCCUCACUUGGUUCUGAUGAUUUCUCCCACCCUACCCCCACAUUUGCACACUCAGAUACAAACACAAGCCUGCCGACGCGGACCGACAUGGAACCAAACCGCAUCCAUAGGGUAAACGCACCAGACGGCAGCUAUCAGGCCACAGCCAGCCAAGCGCUCACCUGUCCGGUCGUCCACGGUCCCGGCCCGCCUUGAGGCUCGGGCUGCAGCCCUGGCUCCUGGACCCCAGAGACUGGCCUCGACCGUGCAGAGCUUCGGCGUGGGCACCAAGCGAUCCAACCCUGCGGCCGGGGUGCCGAGACGCACAGUUAGCACCUGCGACACAGCGCGACCCCGGCGCCGCGUCCCGCCUCAGGGCGCUCGCGGUUGGGAGGCCAGGACCCCUGCGUCAGCCGCGGUCAGCCCGGGACUGCGGACGUCGGGGCCCCGCGCGGUCCCGGCCGAGGCUGCGGACGCACAGGCACCAGCGGCGGCCCCAGACGGAGGGACCGAGGCGCCAGCCCUGCCCCGCUCCCCCGGCGCGCGGGUCCGCUGCCACCGCCCCCGGCUCCGAAAGGCCGCCGGGCCCGGCCCCCACUUGCCCAGAGUUUUCCGGCGCGCUCGACCCAGGGCCGCGGGGUAACCAGGCAGCGCUGAGCCUGCACCUCGUCGUCAGCCGACUGUCCCGCUGCUCAGGACCCAGGCCAGGCCGCCCCGCCGCGCCCGAGCCCACCCGGCCGCCCGUCGCGACCCCGGCUCUGGUCCAGGCCGCUGCACUGCCUACAGGGAGCCGUAGUUCGCGGACCUGGGCCAGUGGGCGGGGCGGGAGCUCCCAGGAGCGCCUGCGCAUAACGCAGGCAGCACCGCGCAAGGGGGCGGGGCGGGAGCUCCCAGGAGACCCCGCGCGUGUGACAUUCCCGGCGCAGACUCGAGUGUACGGUUGCGAUCGAACGGGUGGGCCUGGGCCGGCCGGGCCUGGGGCCUUCUGUGUCUGCGCGAUCGCCUCCUGGCAAAGAAGGCCACAUAGUGAGGAGAGGACGGUCCUCAGAAAGAGAGAGACUCGCGCCUGACGGUCAACUGGGCGAGCGGACACCGGGCACAGAAAGGGGCCGUGGGGAAGUCCCAGUAGAUGAAUAGCGUCCCACGUUCCAGCCAAGCACUCUCCCCCUGCAGCCUACACCAGCUGUUGCCUAGCCUGCCACACGGCUCUCAAAGAACCUUUUCUCUCUACUUUGCUGAAGUGAGUCCUCUAGCAGCCCCUGAGAAGGCAAUUGAACUCGGGUCCUUGCGCUUGCGCAGCAGGUGGCGAAACUGCUGAGCUAAAUCCCCGGCUCCAUCUUUUUUUUAAAUAAACAGGAGAAAAAUUUAUUUAUCAGUGUGUACUUGGGAGUCAUAAAAAAUAAGAAACGCAACUCAAGUGGCUGAAGGGCUGGAGUCGUUGUUUGACUGUAUGUGAAUGAUAUGGACAGUGGAAAGGCUCUGACCUGACCAAGGGCCCAAAGGGAGACAAAGAGGACUGCGAGGACCAGGCAACCUCAUGCAAGAACCAAGGGACCCUCUGGAGUCCCUGCCCCAGCCUGCAAUUCCCAGCUACACUGGACCUGCAGCUCUGCCUCAACGUGAGCCAGCACCAGCCUAGGAGGACCCAGUCCCUGACACUGCAGCUGCACCAGGAGAAAAAGACUGACUUUAUCCUUGGUUUGAGAGAAAAUUAAAAUGGAAACAAAGCUUUUGUACAUAGGGGAGGGGAUUGAGGGGGAAAAUGGGGUAAAAUAAAAUAAAAUUUAUUUUAAAAUAAAAAGAGAAGGUGCCAUAAAGAUGUUCAGAAUCUUCUGUUUCCCCAAAGACUGAAGAGGGUGUUCAAACCCUCUUCCCUUGAGGGAAGUUCCCUUGGGUGAGGAAAAAUUAGCUAAUUAAUACAUUUACUUUUGACUUCCAAUUUUUUAAAAUUAAUUUUAUUGGAAAAACUUAAUUUUAUUGGUACAAUUUAAAUAUACCUAACAGUCAGAUUUAUCAAAGAGAGUUUGCUCUUGUACAUGAUAUAUCUUUUCUUUUUUUUGAUACCGGGGAUUGAACUUGGGACCUUGCGCUUUCGAGGCAGGCAGUGGCACCACUGA